AUUGAACGCUGGCGGCAGGCCUAACACAUGCAAGUCGAACGGUAACAGGAAGCAGCUUGCUGCUUCGCUGACGAGUGGCGGACGGGUGAGUAAUGUCUGGGAAACUGCCUGAUGGAGGGGGAUAACUACUGGAAACGGUAGCUAAUACCGCAUAACGUCGCAAGACCAAAGAGGGGGACCUUCGGGCCUCUUGCCAUCGGAUGUGCCCAGAUGGGAUUAGCUAGUAGGUGGGGUAACGGCUCACCUAGGCGACGAUCCCUAGCUGGUCUGAGAGGAUGACCAGCCACACUGGAACUGAGACACGGUCCAGACUCCUACGGGAGGCAGCAGUGGGGAAUAUUGCACAAUGGGCGCAAGCCUGAUGCAGCCAUGCCGCGUGUAUGAAGAAGGCCUUCGGGUUGUAAAGUACUUUCAGCGGGGAGGAAGGGAGUAAAGUUAAUACCUUUGCUCAUUGACGUUACCCGCAGAAGAAGCACCGGCUAACUCCGUG
rnacentral:rRNA from 1 species